rnacentral:rRNA from 1 species
GAUGAACGCUGGCGGCGUGCCUAACACAUGCAAGUCGAGCGAAAAGAUGAGGAGCUUGCUCUUCUGACGUUAGCGGCGGACGGGUGAGUAACAAGUGGAUAACCUUCCUCUAUGACUGGGAUAACUUCGGGAAAACGGAGAUACUACUGGAUCAUACAUCGUACCGGUUGGUUCAAUAGUGAUACAGGGUUUUGCUGUCUCUUAUAGAUGGAUCCGCGUCGCAUUAGCUAGUUGGUAAGGUAACGGCUUACCAAGGAGACGAUGCGUAGCCGAGCUGAGAGGGUGAUCGGCCACACUGGAACUGAGACACGGUCCAGACUCCUACGGGAGGCAGCAGUAGGGAAUCUUCCGCAAUGGGCGAAAGCCUGACGGAGCAACGCCGCGUGAGUGAAGAAGGUCUUCGGAUCGUAAAACUCUUUUAUUGGGGAAGAACAAAUGUGUAAGUAACUAUGCACGUCUUGACGGUACCUAAUCAAAAAGCCACGGCUAACUACGUG